CAACAAUAAUUCAGAAAAUAACAUCAACUAAAAGAAAUUGGAAACAGAAUUUCAGCUCCUUUGUUCUUCUUCUGUUCGACCACCAAACAACCACCGCCACAGUAACCACCGCCCCACUUUCCGACCACGCUUAGUGAACCCACACCCAGUCGCGCCACCAGCACCCACCAUCUCCCCUCCUCUCUCGCGCACCCUUUCGUUUCUUUCGAACCCCCCUACACACCCAUUCACUUUCCUCCUCUACGCGACACCACCGCACCACCACACAUCAACCACUCGCCUUAUGUCGCCCUUCGCCAUCGUGCACUGCCUUCCCUCGCCGGACCUCCUGCCGCGACGCCAAAGCCCCCGUUUCUCCCCUGCGUGUGUGUUGUUCUUGGAAGAACUCAUUCCUCGGAGCUCAGUAAGGACGAUAUCAAGGACAUAAGAAGAGGAUUGUUAUUAUUCUGCAAUCAAGGUACUGCUGGGGACGAUGGUACUGCGUAGUGGCAAGGAUUACCACCUUAUUAAAUCAUCUAGUAAUAUUGCUACUAACUUGUAAGGUUAACUUAAUUAGAAUGUAAGACCAUAUAUACUUUAAUAUAAGUUAUCGUUGCUAUAUCAA